GAUGAACGCUGGCGGCGUGCUUAAUACAUGCAAGUCGAGCGAACAGACGAGGAGCUUGCUCCUCUCUCGUUUGGCGAAGACGGGUGUGAAACACGUGGAUAAUGCACUUAUAUGUGUGGGAUAACUUCGGAACAGGGGCGAAUAUCGCGGAGGAUAUCUUGAACCGUAGUGUUCGUUGGAGAGUGUCGGCGGUGGUGUAUGGACUCGAUGCUUAUGAGCUUGAUGGGCGGGUAGGUGCGUACCAAGGUUAUGACGGGUAGGCGGCCUAAGAGGGUUAACGGCCACCUUGGUACUGCGAUACGGACCAGACUCCUACGGGCGGCAGCAGUGGGGAAUAUUGCACAAUGGGCGGAAGCCUGAUGCAGCAACGCCGCGUGCGGGAUGACGGCCUUCGGGUUGUAAACCGCUUUCGAAUGUGACGAAGCGUGAGUGACGGUAAUGGGUAAAGAAGCCACGGCUAACUACGUG
rnacentral:rRNA from 1 species